AGCUGUGUGUGUGUGUGUGUGUGUGGGGAACACACAGCGAUGAUGAAGGAAUCGUGACGAGGAAAAAAGAAAAGAAAAAGACACAGAAGCAGUGAAAAGGCCACAGCCACCAAUGCUCAAUUACAUGUGUGGUGACAUUUUAACACCGUCUGGAGUUUAAAGCAGAGUAACAGCUUAGCUCAAAACGUGGAGCUCAGCCACUAGAGGAGGAAGAGGAGCAGGCCUUCAUCAGAGAGACACACUGAAAGAUGAACGGCGGCUGUUUGGACGGGGAGAUAAAGCCGACGGACGUGGCGGAGGAAGAGGGAAGUGUGUACACUUUAUUUCUAACAGACGCAUAAAAAAGACACAGGCUAGAUUCUAGAGAUGAACCGAUCUGAUAUUAAUAUCUGUAUUGGCCUGGAUACCGAAAACAAUAUAUAGAUGAGGUAUCGGUGGCAAUGUGCCAGAUCCAUAAGGGCAGAUCUGUUCAGUCUUGUUAAUAUUGUCAAUAUUUUGUGCUUUGAGCAGCGUCA